UACAUCUUAUUGUGCAGGUGGUUAGCAACACGUUUUAUGUGUUCUGGUUUAUCAGGUGCUGUGUCAAUUUUGUCAACUCAAAAGGAAGGGAAACACAUCUUUAUUGGGCACUAUGGGGCCAAGCACUGCAUUAAACCUCAUCCUGUUGAUAUCUAGUUCUCACAAAAAUCUUGCAAGGUUGGAUCCCUAAACGGUCCAAGUAUCCCACUGUGGAAGAUUUCUCGAUGCCAGAGUCAACUAUAAGGCACAGAACCUUGCCUAUGGAAAUCUGUUGUAUCUGCCACAAGGAUUGGAGCUUCUGAGAGAACAAAUUCAGGCCUGGUUUUCUAAUUAUGACAACAUGCAGAGGGAAAACAUCUGUGCUGUCAGAGCUGAACAGCCGCAGCGGCUCUUGGUCUGUGAAUAGGCUAAAACUGUCCCAGUUCUUCAAAGCUCCAUAUUUUCAAGACAUGGUGAAAGAUCACUGAGAUGACUGACUGGUUGUAUUGAUGCUAUGGGUAGAGGGAGUGGAACAUUCAGGAAAAGGAAGAGCAAGCUUGAAGUCCAUGAUGCCGGAAGGUGUUUGGUGUCCUUGAAAACCGGAUAGAAGGACUUGUGGCACAUGUUCAGAAGUUUAAGAUUUAAUUCCAAGACUAAUGGGAUGCCAGCCUCUAUUGACAGGCAUUCAGUAUAUGACAUAGCUUUAAGUCACCUGUCUAUUCUGUUUUUAUCCUGUAAAAGCUCUUCCAGUUGUCAAUGAUCUUUUAAAAAUGUGACAUCUAAAUCUGAAAGCUGUGCUCCAGUUCUCCUUCUGGACAUAACAGAACAGAAUGUGAUUCUCACCAUCUUGCACUUACAGUGUCAGAACUAUGAGAGAAAUCUUUUUAUAUUUAAUUUCUUCUAGUUUGCCAUACCAGACACUUGAGAUCAUUUUGGAUUCUGAUUCUUUUAUCCCUCACAACCAAAACAGUCAGUGUCCCCCAUCAGCUUCCCACCACCUGCUGGCAUCUUUUCAUAGGUUAAAGUCAUUGAUUAAAAAAAAUUAAGUUGAAGGACCAGGUCUUACAAUGUCAUUUAAAAGUUUUUUGUGUGCUAACAUUGAUCAAUAGUUCAAUAUUGUUGGGGGCAAGACCAUUCAAAAAGUUGUAAAUUAAUCAAUUUACACUGCAACGAAGUCAUUUAUCUUCAUCUUUUUUUCAAAGACAUCAUAAGGAAACAUCAUAGAGCUUACCAUAUUGCAUAACCAUAUUAUUUAUUUUCCUGUCCUUUCCACUGAAAUGUGAGUCUAAUAGAAACUUUAAAAAGUUUACGAUGUAAUUCAU
rnacentral:lncRNA from 1 species